GAUUCCAAGUCCUGGGGCCAUAGGUGUCAAACCCAAGAGUGUCCUAUACUGCUUCCCUCAUUUAGUCCUGAGUUAGAGCAACCUGUACCAAACUGAACUGUGAUAACCUGUGACUGCACAGAACCCAUGCACAGGGUAUGUCUAAUCUCACUGAAGCAUCAGCUUGCUGCCCGCUGCCUGAAAGGAGAGGAUGGGAGGGGUGCCCUCCUCAGAGGCUCAACCCUUUCUAAUCUCUGCCUCUGCAGGGGCCAGUGACAGCUAUAACGAAAGCUUUGGCCUUGGAUGAGAGCCCAUAUGGUUUCUGUGUCCACUGGUGAGCUGAUCAAAGUGGACAGAGAGCCUCAGGGCAGCUGGGGAUGCCAGGACAGAAUCAGCACACACGUCUGUUCUCCUCCCCAGGAAAUAUCUGGAUCCCACUGUGAGAAGAGCUGCAGCCUCAACUUCAGACCUCAGUGCCAGCAUCCUAGAAGGCACCUUGACCCAUCUUCCAAAUAAUGAGAUGGAGAGCUAUUGUUAGGCUAGGCUGCCUAGCAACCUCUGAUGUCAUCACCAGCCCCCAUGAGGUGCAAGCCAGGCAUGCUCCAGAUGUAAGGCCAGGCCUUCACUGCUCCUUCUCUCUCUGACUUUCUUUCCAGGGGCUCUCUACCCAUGCCUUUUCUCUUCUCCUAUGCUCUCCCACUGUCUUUAUGUCUCUUUCCCACUCUGCCUUUAAAUAAAGCUCUUUGUAUCAGACCUGUUGAGCAGUGUAUAAUCUAUACAGUGUUACGCACAUUUAUUAAUAAGCUAGAGCACUAUGGCUGGGCAGAUACUGACCUAUUCUAACCCAUCUGUACUGUCCUGGCUACUUCCCAGCCUGGUGCUCCAUGCUUCUUGCCAUCUGGUUUUGCCCUGGCUACUCCUGCUCUAUUUGUGUCCUCAUGGUGAGGCCUCAUGUCCUGGCAACCUUCUUUUUUUUCUC